rnacentral:misc_RNA from 1 species
GUAGGUGAACCUGCGGAAGGAUCAUUACCUGGCCUUGGGCCGCUCGCGGGAGCUCGUCGCUUGCGACGGUGCUCUCGGGGGUGCUUAGCCCUUGAUCAUUACCUUGAUUAUACGCACCUUCGUUGUUCCCUCGGCAGUUCGCUGCCGCUAGGGACCCGUAAACCCUUUUGUAUAAGCAUUAAACGUCUGAAAACAAAUUUUAGUUAUUUACAACUUUUAACAAUGGAUCUCUUGGUUCUG